rnacentral:rRNA from 1 species
AACGUAGGAGACAAACGUUAUCCGGAGUUACUGGGCGUAAAGGGCGUGUAGGUGGUAGUGUAAGUCUGGCGUGAAAUUUUUCGGCUUAACCGGGAAAGGUCGUCGGAUACUGCACAACUAGAGGACGGUAGAGGCGUGUGGAAUUCCGGGUGUAGUGGUGAAAUGCGUAGAGAUCCGGAGGAACACCAGUGGCGAAGGCGACACGCUGGGCCGUACCUGACACUGAUGCGCGACAGCAUGGGGAACAAACAGG